UGAGAGUUUGAUCCUGGCUCAGGACGAACGCUGGCGGCGUGCUUAACACAUGCAAGUCGAACGGAAAGGUCUCUUCGGAGAUACUCGAGUGGCGAACGGGUGAGUAACACGUGGGUAAUCUGCCCUGCACUUCGGGAUAAGCCUGGGAAACUGGGUCUAAUACCGAAUAGGACCACUUGGCGCAUGCCUUGUGGUGGAAAGCUUUUGCGGUGUGGGAUGGGCCCGCGGCCUAUCAGCUUGUUGGUGGGGUGAUGGCCUACCAAGGCGACGACGGGUAGCCGGCCUGAGAGGGUGUCCGGCCACACUGGGACUGAGAUACGGCCCAGACUCCUACGGGAGGCAGCAGUGGGGAAUAUUGCACAAUGGGCGCAAGCCUGAUGCAGCGACGCCGCGUGGGGGAUGACGGCCUUCGGGUUGUAAACCUCUUUCACCAUCGACGAAGGUCCGGGUUUUCUCGGAUUGACGGUAGGUGGAGAAGAAGCACCGGCCAACUACGUGCCA
rnacentral:rRNA from 1 species